GUUGUUUUUUCCCACCCUUCAGUGCCAUCUGCUCCGUCUCUUCCAGUUUGACCUGCAGUUCUGUGCCACAGUGUCAACACACACACAACUCCUCCGCCAUCAUGGCCGCCUGAAGCACAAAGGUUAGGGAGGAAGCGCUGCGACGCUCUUGCAGCACGUCGUCCACCUCGCUUGACAGCAGCAACACGUCCGCCUCCAGCUUCUUCUUGUGGCUCACCAGCCCCACAUUCUACAAUCAGUCAGUCAAUCAGUGAAUCCAUCAGCCUG